GACGAACGCUGGCGGCGUGCUUAACACAUGCAAGUCGAACGGAAAGGCCCUGCUUUUGUGGGGUGCUCGAGUGGCGAACGGGUGAGUAACACGUGAGUAACCUGCCCUUGACUUUGGGAUAACUUCAGGAAACUGGGGCUAAUACCGGAUAGGAGCUCCUGCUGCAUGGUGGGGGUUGGAAAUUUUCGGCGGUUGGGGAUGGACUCGCGGCUUAUCAGCUUGUUGGUGGGGUAGUGGCUUACCAAGGCUUUGACGGGUAGCCGGCCUGAGAGGGUGACCGGCCACAUUGGGACUGAGAUACGGCCCAGACUCCUACGGGAGGCAGCAGGGGGGAAUAUUGCACAAUGGGCGGAAGCCUGAUGCAGCAACGCCGCGUGCGGGAUGACGGCCUUCGGGUUGUAAACCGCUUUCGCCUGUGACGAAGCGUGAGUGACGGUAAUGGGUAAAGAAGCACCGGCUAACUACGUG
rnacentral:rRNA from 1 species